ACCAGACUCCUACGGGAGGCAGCAGUGGGGAAUAUUGCACAAUGGGGGAAACCCUGAUGCAGCAACGCCGCGUGGGUGAAGGAGCGUUUCGGCGCGUAAAGCCCUGUCAGCGGGGAAGAAGAAAGACGGUACCCGACCAAGAAGCCCCGGCUAACUACGUGCCAGCAGCCGCGGUAAUACGUAGGGGGCGAGCGUUAUCCGGAAUUACUGGGUGUAAAGGGAGCGUAGACGGCGAGGUAAGCCUGAAGUGGAAGCCCGCGACCCAACCGCGGAACUGCUUUGGGAACUGUUUUGCUGGAGUAUGGGAGGGGUAAGCGGAAUUCCUGGUGUAGCGGUGAAAUGCGUAGAGAUCUGGAGGAAUACCGGUGGCGAAGGCGGCCCCCUGGACGAAGACUGACGCUCAGGUGCGAAAGCGUGGGGAGCAAACAGGAUUAGAUACCCGCGUA
rnacentral:rRNA from 1 species